UGACGGCGAUACACUUCGACCGACUUUUGUCGUCCUCCCUCCGACGUCCGUCAUCCGCAUAUCCGACGUCGGUCGUCGUGCUGUCCGACCUUCGGCUCUACUGCCUCGGUCGUCCUACCAUCGGACAUCUGGCGCUCUGCUACUAGUGUGGGACCUACCCUGAGACUGCGUACGCCCUCGGUCGUGCCGUGGAGCCUCGGACCCGUAUACCGGUGGACGAAGGUGGACCUGGAGGGAACAAGAACCUACAUCUUUAGGUUCAUGAACUAUCUGUGUGCCAGUCAUUUAAAUAAAUAUUUGUUAGGGA